CCCCUAACUUUUGGUCCUCCAAUGUGAUGAACCGGUGCAUGAGAGAAAAAGUAAAGUUUGCACCGAUACAUUGGAGAAGGCCUUAGAGAUUGUCGCGCAGCUCUUACAGUUUAACUUCAAAAAAUUAUGUAAAACCAGCUGAUUAUACCGAUGGAGGAUGUCUUUGUUUGUGUUGCAAUAUAUUUGAAAUGUUGCACCCAUGCACAACAAAGAAAGCGAAUAGGAACAGCAAAAACAAUCGCAAACCACACUGUAAUGACAAGAUGAAAUAAAAAAAAAUAUAACUAAAGUAAUCAGGUAUGCAUGCAACAUGCAAGUGAGACAUUCAGAGUAAUCAGAUCAAGAUAUUAGGGAUCCAGAUUCUGAAUAUUCUAUCAUCAAUUGUCGUGAUGAUGGGAAUAGUUACGAGGCAAAUCUGCAAAACGCCCAAGUCUUUUGGAACAAACUCUAGAUUGAAGGUAUUCAAGCAAACAAUAAUGUAACACGUACAUGUUUCAAUUAAAUAUGUCUUUGCUUAGUCAUGUUUAAGCAAAAGAAGCAGACAUGAAAGACAUAAACACACAAUACUAAGCAGUGCAGCUCCCAACAUACUACCUGUUAAGCCAACCUCUUUUAAAACAGCUCUUCAGCUUUGGCCUUCUCUCUGUAAUCCUGGGUGAAAUAAGAAAUGAUGCUGAGAUUCACAAUUAACUGAAAGGAAAAAAAUCUUACCUAUUAUUUAACCCACAAUCUAAUGCGCAGACGGGCCAAGUGUUGUCUUAGCGUACGGCGUGCUCCGAGAUUCGUGCCCCUUCGUACUCUCUCCUCCUCCCGAUUCCUCU
rnacentral:lncRNA from 1 species